rnacentral:rRNA from 1 species
CAGGCCUAACACAUGCAAGUCGAACGGUGGCAGCAAUGCCAUAGUGGCGCACGGGUGCGUAACGCGUAACCAACCUGCCCGAAUCUGGGGGAUAGCCCGCCGAAAGGCGGAUUAAUACCGCAUAAAACAACAAAACGGCAUCGUUUAAUUGUUAAAGAUUUAUUGGAUUCGGAUGGGGUUGCGUGCCAUUAGCUGGUUGGGGGGGUAACGGCCCACCAAGGCGACGAUGGCUAGGGGAGCUGAGAGGCUGGUCCCCCACACGGGCACUGAGAUACGGGCCCGACUCCUACGGGAGGCAGCAGUAGGGAAUAUUGGGCAAUGGCCGAGAGGCUGACCCAGCCAUGCCGCGUGCAGGACGAAGGCUUUCUGAGUCGUAAACUGCUUUUGCCAGGGAAGAAAAAAGGGGAUGCGUCCUCUACUGACGGUACCUGGUGAAUAAGCACCGGCUAACUCCGUGCCAGCAGCCGCGGUAAU